ACGGAGGGGGCUAGCGUUGUUCGGAAUUACUGGGCGUAAAGCGCACGUAGGCGGCUUUGUAAGUUAGAGGUGAAAGCCCGGGGCUCAACUCCGGAACUGCCUUUGAUACUGGAGAUCUUGAGUCCGGGAGAGGUGAGUGGAACUGCGAGUGUAGAGGUGAAAUUCGUAGAUAUUCGCAAGAACACCAGUGGCGAAGGCGGCCCACUGGCCCGGUACUGACGCUGAGGUGCGAAAGCGUGGGGAGCAAACAGGA
rnacentral:rRNA from 1 species